rnacentral:misc_RNA from 1 species
CACGUUUGCUCAUUCCACGCCUUAGUUUUACAUUUGAAGGGAAAGCAGACACAGACAGAGACACAAACACAGAGGCAACGGCAUUGGUUUCGUGGAAAGGUCGAUCGCUCCCCACUUGACUUCCCUUGGAUUCAUGUCAGCACAGGAGGAGACCACCCCCGCGCGUCCCGCGGCAAAGAAGGCGCCAUGGCAGAGCAUGCCCGGCGCUCCUACGCGACCCAACUUUGCCCAUUACGGGCCGAAGCUCGCGGCGCUGGCGGAGCAGCGGCGCACACUCAUUGACAAAAUCAAGAAGUUGCAGAGCUCCGUUCAAAACGAUGCGGUGACGCAGGCCCGCCAUGCGGAGCGAAAUGCGUUUUUCGAGGAACUGAAUGAGAUCGAUGCACGCCGCAAGGUUCAGCGGGACCGUCGUGCGGCUCAAGACGCUGAAAUCGCUAAGUUGCGCAAGCACCGCGGUGAGAUCUCUGACAAGCUGCGGGCUGUGCAGGCAGAGGUUGGUGGCUUCACGAACGUCCGAGAAAUCGACGAGGCGAUCGACUACAUGAUGCGCAAGAUGGAGAGCAGCGGCGGCGGCCUUGGAGCCGAGAGGCGCAACCAGCAGCGUCUCCAUAAGCUGGAGGACGCCAAGACACAUCUUCUCCGGCUUCAGCCGUUGGCUGACGCCAUUAAGCAGAUCACGGAGCAGGAAGUGAUACUUCAACAGGAGUACCACGCCAUUUGCGAGCAAAUCGGGAUCCUGAACAGGGAAUACGAGGAGAAGCUGCAGAAGAAACGUGCAAAGGACAAGGAGGCCCAGGCAGAUGGGACCAACCGGGCUGACGUGUACAAGCAAUGCGACGAGCUUCGCACCCGUGUGUCGGAGAUCACGCAGUGCAUGGACAGCCUGCGUGCGGAGCGCGAAAAGGUCUCUUCCGAGUGGGACGCGUGGAACAAAGAGGCCCGCAAGAAGUACUUUGAACAGCUCGAGCAGCAGCGCGAGAAGCGUCGAAAGGAGUAUGAGGAACGACGCAACGCACACAAGAUCGCCGCGAAGCGUGUCCGAGCGGCGAAGCGUCAGAACCCGUACGUGACGGAGAUUAGCGCCUGUUCCACGCUGAUUCAGUACUUGAAGCAGAAGAAGAUGAUGGUCCAACUGGACGAGGAGGACCGCAAGAGGCGCGAAGCUGCGGCACACUUUGAUCCCUCUCAGAUGGCACCCGCAGGCUGUGUGGUGGUGAGCGAGAGCAAGUGGUCGGAAAACAAGUCUCUGGGCAAGACUGCAAAGAAGCAACAAAAGCAUCAGCAGAAGCAAAAGGAGAAUACCUCCGCAGCGAAGCCGAGCACCGCAGUGAACGACCAGAAGGGUCGUGCUCUGCAGCACCCGGUGGAAAAGAUCCGUCUUUUCCAGAUGAUAGACGUCGAUCCGGCGCUGUCGCUAGCGACCAUUGACGACAAGAUUCGCCACAUUGAGACGCUGAAAAGCCAGUACGAGUCACACAUUCAGACGGGCGAGUUGGUGCUCUCUAGCGGCGACGACGAAGAAGAGGAAGAGGCGGACGACAGCGCGAACACGCCUUUACCAAAGGCUCCAGAGGGUGCGGAGACGGCAGGGGUGCAUGCGACCGAGGAGGCUGCCUAGCCCUUUUGCUCCAGGUAACCAUAGUUCAUUGAGUCUUAAUUCCUAAGUUUGGAAAGGAGUUGGUGACGAAGGAGACAGACGGAAAUCGUCUGCGUGACAUCAUUGACUUUUCUUUUGUCUUCUCGUGAUUGAGAACCUCUAUUUGCAAGUCUCCCCGAUUUUUUUCUCUGCGCUGAUGUCAGCGGCGAGUGUGCCUGCCAAAAUUGUUGAUGAGACUGUGUGCAUCUUUGUUUCUGCGUCUGUGCUCCUGCGUGACUCCCUGGGUGCAGGCGCUCCCUCACCUUCGCGGCUGACAUGCUACCCCCGUCUUCCCCCCGGAUCAUGAAGGAGCCACGGAAGAGACACAGAGCAAGGAAGUGUGAAGCUGUUGCUGCAUGGAUGCCGGUGUUGCUUGCAUUCUCGCGGACCCCUUUCGCUCUCUCGAGCAGUAGCUGCGAUUUGCUUUAUCGCUCGUUUCCCCCGUAAUAGAU